rnacentral:rRNA from 1 species
AUGAGAGUUUGAUCCUGGCUCAGGACGAACGCUGGCGGCGUGCCUAAUACAUGCAAGUAGAACGCUGAGGUUUGGUGUUUACACUAGACUGAUGAGUUGCGAACGGGUGAGUAACGCGUAGGUAACCUGCCUCAUAGCGGGGGAUAACUAUUGGAAACGAUAGCUAAUACCGCAUAAGAGUAAUUAACACAUGUUAGUUAUUUAAAAGGAGCAAUUGCUUCACUGUGAGAUGGACCUGCGUUGUAUUAGCUAGUUGGUGAGGUAAAGGCUCACCAAGGCGACGAUACAUAGCCGACCUGAGAGGGUGAUCGGCCACACUGGGACUGAGACACGGCCCAGACUCCUACGGGAGGCAGCAGUAGGGAAUCUUCGGCAAUGGACGGAAGUCUGACCGAGCAACGCCGCGUGAGUGAAGAAGGUUUUCGGAUCGUAAAGCUCUGUUGUUAGAGAAGAACGUUGGUAGGAGUGGAAAAUCUACCAAGUGACGGUAACUAACCAGAAAGGGACGGCUAACUACGUGCCAGCAGCCGCGGUAAUACGUAGGUCCCGAGCGUUGUCCGGAUUUAUUGGGCGUAAAGCGAGCGCAGGCGGUUCUUUAAGUCUGAAGUUAAA